rnacentral:rRNA from 1 species
GAGAAUGGUGUAGGGAUCUAGUUGAUGGAGACGGGUUACUCGCGUUCUUUCGAGUGCACUUCCUUACUUGCUAGGUAGCAUCGAUUUUGGUUAUCAUAUAAAAAUUGAGGGAAGGUGGCUUUUCUUCGGAAAAGUGUUAUAGACCUUGAUUAAUGUGGUGACCGGGAUUGAGGAUUGCAGCGGAUACCCUUUUGGGCUAGUCACCUGGCUUCUGAUGGUUACCCCGUCUUCGAUAGCUUGCUAACGUUGAUGGGAUUUGAUUGUCUAGAUGUUGGAGUGAUCAUAAAUUCGUUAAGGAUGUUGACGUA